GAAAAGUAAACGUGAAACGUCUGUGUCAGCGCCUCAAUAAUGCCGUGACUGACAUUUUCAUCUGAAGCGGGAGGUCAAACGAUACGGAGUUUCAUCCGCAAGUUGCUCUCGAAGUUUCUGAAGCCAGCAGCACUGCAGCACCGGGAAUUGCAUGAAAUCCUCUAUAAGGACCCAUCAAACCAACUGCCAUAGGAGAAAAGCUGGUGAUCGGCUUCACUACUCGAGCUACACUCAACAGGCUCCUUGA